GAUGAGCGCUAGCGAUAGGCUUAACACAUGCCAGUCGAGGGGCAGCAUGGUCUUAGCUUGCUAAGACUGAUGGCGACCGGCGCACGGGUGCGUAACGCGUAUGCAACUUGCCUCACAGAGGGGGAUAACCCGUCGAAAGACGGACUAAUACCGCGUACACUUGGGAUAGGGCAUCCUGACCCAAGGAAAUGAAAUUCGCUGUGAGAUAGGCAUGCGUCCCAUUAGCUAGUUGGUGAGGUAACGGCUCACCAAGGCGACGAUGGGUAGGGGAACUGAGAGGUUGAACCCCCACACUGGUACUGAGACACGGACCAGACUCCUACGGGGGGCAGCAGUGAGGAAUAUUGGUCAAUGGGCGAGAGCCUGAACCAGCCAAGUCGCGUGAAGGAUGACUGUCUUAUGGAUUGUAAACUUCUUUUAUACGGGAAUAACAAGAGCCACGUGUGGCUCCCUGCAUGUACCGUAUGAAUAAGCAUCGGCUAACUCCGUG
rnacentral:rRNA from 1 species